rnacentral:rRNA from 1 species
UACGAAGGGUGCAAACGUUGCUCGGAAUUAUUGGGCGUAAAGCGCACGUAGGCGGCAUUGCAAGUCGGAUGUGAAAUCCCUCGGCUCAACCAAGGAAGUGCAUCCGAAACUGCUGUGCUUGAGUACUUAAGAGGAUCGCGGAAUUCCCGGUGUAGAGGUGAAAUUCGUAGAUAUCGGGAGGAACACCGGUGGUGUAGACGGCUUUCUGGACCGUAACUGACGCUGAGACACGAAAGCGUGGGUAGCAAACAGG